rnacentral:lncRNA from 1 species
CCCUCACUAAGGAAAGAUCCAAAAGGGGUUGUCAUCUUAAUCUUUUACUCUUUUUAAGGAUUGGAACACCAAUUGAUAUGAGAGCACCUACUCUGAUACCACUUAUUGCCCAAGGAGACAACCCAAGAGGGGGGGGUGAAUUGGGUUUUAAUUAAAUAUUGAUCAAUUAAAAAUAUAAUGAGUAAUUAACUAAAUCUAUUGCAAGCAAAUUAGUUAGGUUACUAGAUACAGUGAGUGAAGAGAGAGAAAGAGACAACAACCAAUACAAACAUAGAAAAGUUUAUAGUGGUUCGAAGCCAACUCUUGCUCCUACGUCCACUCCCCAAGCCGCACUUGGGAGUUCACUAUAAUUUCUAGAAUUACAGCCGGUUGUUUUACAAGCUCACAACCCAACUUGUUGUUUUUAUGAGAUUACAACGAACUCGGU